UCAGACAGAGGGACAUCCGUUACCGGUUAGGGUAAACAUAUCAAGGAUGACCCGUUGAGAAAAAUGAGGCAUAUUCAUUACCGGUUACUGGGUAAGAAUAAACUGUUGGGAAAAGGAAACCAAAUAGGAUUUACAACUACCUGUUACUGGGCAGAAGACCAAAGAGAGAGUAUCUGUCAGCGGUUAAAGUGAACAUAUUAAGGAUAAACUCAAAGGAAGAAUAUCUG
rnacentral:lncRNA from 1 species